rnacentral:rRNA from 1 species
AGAGUUUGAUCAUGGCUCAGAUUGAACGCUGGCGGCAUGCCUUACACAUGCAAGUCGAGCGGCAGCGCGGGGGCAACCCUGGCGGCGAGCGGCGCACGGGUGAGUAAUGCAUCGGAACGUGUCCUCUUGUGGGGGAUAACCAGUCGAAAGACUGGCUAAUACCGCAUGAGCACGAGAGUGGAAAGCGGGGGACCGCAAGGCCUCGCGCGAGAGGAGCGGCCGAUGCCGGAUUAGCUAGUUGGUGAGGUAAUGGCCCACCAAGGCGACGAUCCGUAGCUGGUUUGAGAGAACGACCAGCCACACUGGGACUGAGACACGGCCCAGACUCCUACGGGAGGCAGCAGUGGGGAAUUUUGGACAAUGGGGGCAACCCUGAUCCAGCCAUGCCGCGUGUGUGAAGAAGGCCUUCGGGUUGUAAAGCACUUUCGGCCGGAACGAAAUCGCGCGGGUGAACAUCCCGCGUGGAUGACGGUACCGGAAGAAGAAGCACCGGCUAACUACGUGCCAGCAGCCGCGGUAAUACGUAGGGUGCGAGCGUUAAUCGGAAUUACUGGGCGUAAAGUGUGCGCAGGCGGCCGAGCAAGUCGAGUGUGAAAGCCCCGAGCUUAACUUGGGAACUGCGCUCGAAACUACUUGGCUAGAGUGUGGCAGAGGGAGGUGGAAUUCCACGUAGCGGUGAAAUGCGUAGAGAUGUGGAGGAACACCGAUGGCGAAGGCAGCCUCCUGGGCCAACACUGACGCUCAUGCACGAAAGCGUGGGGAGCAAACAGGAUUAGAUACCCUAGUAGUCC